UACGGGGGGGGCGAAGCGUUGUUCGGAAUUACUGGGCGUAAAGGCUCGUAGGCGGCCAACUAAGUCGGAUGUGAAAUCCCCAGGCUCAACUUGGGAACUGCAUCCGAUACUGGAUGGCUUGAAUCCGGGAGAGGGAUGCAGAAUUCCAGGUGUAGCGGUGAAAUGCGUAGAUAUCUGGAGGAAUACCGGUGGCGAAGGACGGCAUCCUGGACCGGCAUUGACGCUGAUGAGCGAAAGCUAGGGAGCAACGGG
rnacentral:rRNA from 1 species